CAGCCGUAAACUAUGCUCGCUAGGUGUCAGGGACGGUGCGACCGUUUCUGGUGCCGCAGGGAAGCCGUGAAGCGAGCCACCUGGGAAGUACGGUCGCAAGGCUGAAACUUAAAGGAAUUGGCGGGGGAGGCACCACAACGCGUGGAGCCUGCGGUUUAAUUGGAUUCAACGCCGGACAUCUCACCAGGGCGACAGCAGAAUGAUGGCCAGGUUGAUGACCUUGCUUGACAAGCUGAGAGGAGGUGCAUGGCGUGUGACUGU
rnacentral:rRNA from 1 species